GCAGGAAGAAUAAAAAGGCGUAUUAUCUAAAUGGUGAGAGAUUGCAGAGUCUGGAGAUGCAGAAAGACCUGGGGUGACCAUGCGCAUGAAUCACAAAAGUAAAACAGGCUCUAUUUCUCGUCCUGUGGAACUGAUGUAUGCAAGGCCAUUACACCGCAAAACAUCUUAAGUUAACACCACAAUGUUUCCCUUUGAGAGUGAAAAUAUCCAGCCAGAUGACUGGAUAUGCAAAUCUGAACCAUCCGAUCAGAUGCCCAGAUUUUCACAGAGCUGCUGCCCCUGUUUAAAGGCACCCUAGGCCAGCCAGCAAAGACAGUAUCAAACACAGUGGGUUGCAACCUGCAGAAACGUUGCAAACAAACUGCAAAAUGACAACAGCUGGAUAACCCGUGUGGUUAACCAAUAUAUACUUAUACUGGGAAAGCACAUCACUUCACAGAAAUGCAUAUGAUCCAUAAUGAACCCAUUAUUUAAGAAUAAUAUGGGAACCUCCAGAAUUAUCAUCAUAUGGAAUAAUUAUUUCAUGCUGACUUGUGAAUUUGGUAUAUAGUUGCCAAAACAUUGGAUUUGAAAAAAGUUGAUUUAUUUCAGGAAAAAUGCAGUUUAUUCACAGCUGUUAGUAUGUUCAGUCCACUGUUUGAUUAUUUGUAAUGUAAUGAAUGUUUUAUCACUUCAAUAAUAUUUAUAAGCUGGUUGUUAUCACCAUGUGUAUUGACAGUUCCACUAAUAUUUCCUUAUCCUCCUGAAAACAUUUACUUCUGAAUUAGACUCAUUCGAUGCCUCCCCCAAAGCAUGUUCUUAUUAAGUCAGCUGAGAGGGUUUUUGCAGUUAUCUUAACUGCACUGGGACUGGAAAGCUAUAAUAGGCAAACUUCAACUGACAUCCACACAUGCUGCCAGUAACGGUUGCUGAGAUAGUGAUCAGGAGCAGGCAUCCUUGUUGAAAUACUCUCUCAAACCCACUGCACCCAAUUGUGGCCACUUUAUUCAAAGACUAGACCAGCCCAGGAUUUGACCCUUGAAUCCUCCUGGUUUUCUAAAGUUCAACUAAUUGCUGUUAUAACCAGCUGAGAAACAGAGAGCCUUUUCCCAUAGAAGAAAACAAAAUUAUUAAAAGUGGCCAUGAAAACAUGACUUAUUUCAAGUUAACUCUGGUACCCAUUAUCUGCAAUAGCUAUACCUGCUGAUACUAUUGUUGGGGAAUAAGCAGACUGCCACAGAAAUCUUAAACUGUAUUUAUGAACUGCAAAUUAUCUAAAUCAGCUUCUUUAUUAUCAAUUCACUUCUCCUAGUUUAAUGGAAUUAUAUAGUUAUAUCAACCUACUUUUAGAUCAAUAAAUUACUAGAAUAUCCUACCAAAAAUUUACUCUCCUGAUAAUUCAAGGUAACAUGAUGCUAAGUCACACAGACAAGGAUGAUCCCAGGCUUAAUUCCUUGAUCUGUCCUAUUAAAUCAAUGUAAAAUGUCAGUGUCCCCUAAACAGCAGGCAGGAAAAAUCAAAUGUUGUUCCCAAACUUGAAUGCUUUCCAGUCAACCCUGCUGAUAAUUGUACCUUUGUAGACAGCAAGGGACAACAACUUUUGGCUCUAUGGUUGAACAACCUCGGCUUGCCUUGCAGGAACCCUGUCAGCACCCACAUAACUGUAUCUCACUAUUAAGAAGUCAGAUUUAGGUGGGGAAAACCUGGUGUUAGCAGGAAUAAGACACAGAGGGAGAAACCUACCCCUUUACACAGCGACAAUAAGGAAGUUGCAAUCAUUAGCUUAUUUUAGAGUAAACAGCCUAAUGAAGGACACAAUAAAUAAUUCAAAUUGUAUAGUGAAUAAAGCCCAUUAACAUCAUGUUGUAUUCAUCUUACAAUAUGACCAAAAAGGUGCAAAUGUACUAUGCAAUGCUAAAUUAUCUCAUCUGUCUUGCUGCUAUGGCGAGGACCAGUUAUGAUUAUUGUGGUUUUGGUUAAACAAGGAAAGGCAUUAACAUACUGGUUUAGUGUCAUGGUUAGGUCAGCGUGCUUGCCAAGUAUGUCAGAUGCCUUUGAUAAGGUAGUUACAUCAUAGGCUGGCAUUAGACAUUACCAAGAAUAGCAAAUUUGGUUACGUCUCUAGUGCUGAGCUGUUGUGUUUGUAAUAGUCUCAACUCAGAAUACUCUGGUUGUGUUAUUGGUAUGCCAGAGUAAGCUAUAUUCUUACUUUUGAAAUAGCCUUUUUUGAUUUGACUCUUGCUAUAUUACCGUAUUCUCUGAAAUUUUAAAAGAACUUUCUCCAAAGAACAAAGCCCCACAGUAUCCCCUCUCUAAGAUACCAUGGACAUGCCUCUGGGAAAGAAGGGACAGAAGUGGACAUGCUUCCCAUUACUGUUCACUACCCAGCAGUUUCUGAUGAAGGUACAUUUGUGUGGAAUAUAAGCUUUCAAAAUAUGCAGAAGCUUUCUACUGCACAGUUACAACAUCCUUUGUAACAGAGAAAGUUUUCAUUCAAGAAAAUCUACUCUCUGCAUUACUGAACUAAGAGUCAACAAUGGUGUUUUAGCUCCGCUGCAUGGAACAGUCACCCAGAGACUGCAGCGUAUAAAGUUAGAAGGUGAAACUUUACACUGAAUAGAAAUGAUGAGAAAGGAAAAUACAUAAACAGAUAACAAUUCUGGCAGUUUGUGAUUUUGCAGACAAUAUUAUUAAAGAACAUUGCUCUCAUAGUUGCAUUGUGCACUCCAAUUGCUCUGUGGUGAUCGUAUGUGAAAAUGUUUGCUCAUGACGGUGUUGACUCAGUACAGAUGUAUGGAAACACAAACAGCCUUAGCAAGCGAAGGAAAAUUAUCUUUUCAGUCAAUCUACCGAAAGUCUGUUCUUGGUUUAAAAUUUCGUUUUCAUACGAAGGAAGCUUUCAGUGCUGCCAGUUUAGGUAGAUCUGUGCAAGAAAGCUGGCUUAAAUGAGUGCUGCACGCAGGUUCAAAUUCGCCUGAGUAAAACAAAAGAACUGGUUACUGUUAACCAUAAGGCAAUCAAAUUACAGCAGAAUUAAUUUGGAUAACACGGCUUUGGCUGAUCCUUGGAUGUGCAAUCAGCAAAACAAGAGUUAAAAUUUAUCACUUGAUCCGUGUACUUAGGAUGUUAACAGUUUUCCCGUCCAUGCUGACUUUGUAUCAUAAAGUAAUGCAGGAAAUUAAUACUGUGGUUAAGUGGUUAAUAGUGAAAUUAAUGUGGGGCUUUUAGAAAGGCCAAGAGGUAAAACAGAUAAACUUUUCUUCUUGCCUGAAAAUAGCUAACUGAAUGAGUGAGAAAAAAGUACGUGCACCAUUUAAUAUGUGGUGCUAUGCUGUGUUGCACAGACUUACAUUCACCAGCUCCAGAUGUGAGAAGAGAUUUGAGGUAUAGGCUCAUAAAUCAUUUUUUUGUUAAUCGCAUCAUUUUUAAAUGAGCAACUGUCAAAUGGGGGAAGGAUCUCCCACAAAAUGAAUCAUCAAGUAAGCUUUUACUUCUGUGCUUUAAGCCACAGCAAUUGGUAUUCUUCAGUCCAUCUGUCACAGAAUAGAGCAGCUUUUUAAAAGGUAACCAAAUGUCUUACUCUUCUAGUCUAUGUGACGGUUUUAAAAGAUUCUUUUGCUUACUGAUCGUUUAACAAGGAAGUGAUGACCUAGUGCUAUUACCACUGGUCUAUUAAUCCGGAGGCGCAGGUAAUAUUCUGGGCACCUGGCUUCAAAUAUCGGCACAGCAGAUGGUGGAAUUUGAGUUCAGUAAAAAUAAUCUAGA